UCCAACGUGUGGAAUUUGAAGCGAAUGUUUUUUUUCCACAUCAUGAAGCUCCUGGUGUUUGUGGUGGCGAUUAGUGGGCUCAUAGCUGUCGCUAGUGCGGAAGAUAAUUCGUGCACUGAGAGUAUCCAGUGUAACAGUAUCGAGGGUACUCCACCCUAUUGCCGUAAUGGACAAUGUACCCGUUGGGGAUUGAUUCCGGAUGAAACAGGCUUGGAUCCCUGCUCCACAGUAAGAUGUACCCCAACUACAACUUGUGUCAUCAUCCAAGUUCAGUGUGUCACCACACCUUGCCCUGGACGCGCUCGAUGUUACCCGAAUCCCUGAAGACUUUAAAAAAUUCUUGAUAUACUCAAAUAUUUCAACAAGGAAGACAUACAGUAUCGAAAUUCCAGAGCAUCUAUUAUAACGAUAACAGAAAUAUACUUGUAGAGGGAGGUUUACCCAUACGGAAAAAUAUAUAUUCUGAAAACUAUA